UUCGGGAAUUCCGAGACAGGUGCUGCAUGGCUGUCGUCAGCUCGUGCCGUGAGGUGUUGGGUUAAGUCCCGCAACGAGCGCAACCCUAUUGCCAGUUGCUACCAGGUAAUGCUGGGCACGUCUGGUGAGACUGCCCCGGUUAACGGGGAGGAAGGUGGGGACGACGUCAAGUCAUCAUGGCCCUUACGCCUAGGGCUACACACGUACUACAAUGGCGCAUACAAAGGGCAGCGAUACCGCGAGGUGGAGCCAGUCCCAAAAAGUGCGUACCCAGUCCGGAUUGCAGUCUGCAACUCGACUGCAUGAAGUUGGAAUCGCUAGUAAUUCGAGAUCAGCAUGCUCGGGUGAAUGCGUUCCCGGGCCUU
rnacentral:rRNA from 1 species